rnacentral:rRNA from 1 species
CCUACGGGAGGCAGCAGUGAGGAAUAUUGGUCAAUGGCCGGAAGGCUGAACCAGCCAUGCCGCGUGAAGGUCAGUGCCCUAUGGGCGUUAAACUUCUUUUGUGCGGGAGCAAUAAUGGUCACGUGUGGCCUGACGAUAGUACCGUACGAAUAAGCAUCGGCUAACUCCGUGCCAGCAGCCGCGGUAAAACGGGGGAUGCAAGCGUUAUCCGGGUUUAUUUGGUUUAAAGGGUGCGUAGGCUGGGAGGUAAGUCAGCGGUUAAAUGCCCGCGCUCAACGGGUUGAAGUGCCAUUGAUACUGCCAUGCUGGAAUGCGGAUGCGGUGGGAGGAAUGUGUGGUGUAGCGGUGAAAUGCAUAGAUAUCACACAGAACACCGAUUGCGAAGGCAUCUCACGAAUCCGCGAUUGACGCUGAUGCACGAAAGCGUGGGUAUCAAACAGGAUUAGAUACCCUUGUAGUC